UACGUAGGGGGCAAGCGUUGUCCGGAUUAUUGGGCGUAAAGAGCGUGUAGGCGGCCAGACAGGUCAGCUGUGAAAACUCGAGGCUCAACCUCGAGACGUCGGUUGAAACCGUCUGGCUAGAGUCCGGAAGAGGAGAGUGGAAUUCCUGGUGUAGCGGUGAAAUGCGCAGAUAUCAGGAGGAACACCGGUGGCGAAGGCGGUUCUCUGGGCCUAAUCUGACGCUGGAGGAGCGAAAGCGUGGGGAGCGAACCGG
rnacentral:rRNA from 1 species